rnacentral:rRNA from 1 species
GAUGAACGCUGGCGGCGUGCCUAAUACAUGCAAGUCGAGCGAACAGACUAGGAGCUUGCUCCUCUGACGUUAGCGGCGGACGGGUGAGUAACACGUGGAUAACCUACCUAUAAGACUGGGAUAACUUCGGGAAACCGGAGCUAAUACCGGAUAAUAUAUUGAACCGCAUGGUUCAAUAGUGAAAGACGGUUUUGCUGUCACUUAUAGAUGGAUCCGCGCCGCAUUAGCUAGUUGGUAAGGUAACGGCUUACCAAGGCGACGAUGCGUAGCCGACCUGAGAGGGUGAUCGGCCACCCUGGAACUGAGACACGGUCCGGACUCCUACGGGACGCACCAGUAGGGAAUCUUCCGCAAUGGGCGAAAGCCUGCCGGAGCAACGCCGCGUGAGUGAUGAAGGUCUUCGGAUCGUAAAACUCUGUUAUUAGGGAAGAACCAAUGUGUAAGUAACUAUGCACGUCUUGACGGUACCUAGUCAGAAAGCCACGGCUAACUACGUG